UACGUAGGGGGCGAGCGUUGUCCGGAAUCAUUGGGCGUAAAGAGCGUGUAGGCGGCCCGGUAAGUCCGCUGUGAAAGUCCAGGGCUCAACCCUGGGAUGCCGGUGGAUACUGUCGGGCUCGAGUCCGGAAGAGGAGUGUGGAAUUCCUGGUGUAGCGGUGAAAUGCGCAGAUAUCAGGAGGAACACCAAUGGCGAAGGCAGCACUCUGGGACGUGACUGACGCUGAGACGCGAAAGCGUGGGGAGCAAACAGG
rnacentral:rRNA from 1 species